GAUGAACGCUAGCUACAGGCUUAACACGUGCAAGUCGAGGGGAAACGACAUCGAAAGCUUGCUUUUGAUGGGCGUCGACCGGCGCACGGGUGAGUAACGCGUAUCCAACCUGCCCAUCACUUGGGAAUAACCUUGCGAAAGUAAGACUAAUACCCAAUGAUAUCCCACGAAGGCAUCGGAAUGGGAUUAAAGAUUUAUCGGUGAUGGAUGGGGAUGCGUCUGAUUAGCUUGUUGGCGGGGUAACGGCCCACCAAGGCAACGAUCAGUAGGGGUUCUGAGAGGAAGGUCCCCCACAUUGGAACUGAGACACGGUCCAAACUCCUACGGGAGGCAGCAGUGAGGAAUAUUGGUCAAUGGGCGAGAGCCUGAACCAGCCAAGUAGCGUGCAGGAAGACGGCCCUAUGGGUUGUAAACUGCUUUUAUAAGGGAAUAAAGUGGGUCACGUGUGACUUUUUGCAUGUACCUUAUGAAUAAGGACCGGCUAAUUCCGUG
rnacentral:rRNA from 1 species